UACGUAGGGUGCAAGCGUUAAUCGGAAUUACUGGGCGUAAAGCGUGCGCAGGCGGUUCGGAAAGAAAGAUGUGAAAUCCCAGGGCUUAACCUUGGAACUGCAUUUGUGACUGCAGGGCUUGAGUACGGCAGAGGGGGAUGGAAUUCCGCGUGUAGCAGUGAAAUGCGUAGAUAUGCGGAGGAACACCGAUGGCGAAGGCAGUCCCCUGGGCCUGUACUGACGCUCAUGCACGAAAGCGUGGGGAGCAAACAGG
rnacentral:rRNA from 1 species